CAGUAGCCGCGGGAAUACAGAGGGUGCGAGCGUUAAUCGGAUUUACUGGGCGUAAAGCGUGCGUAGGCGGCUUUUUAAGUCGGAUGUGAAAUCCCUGAGCUUAACUUAGGAAUUGCAUUCGAUACUGGGAAGCUAGAGUAUGGGAGAGGAUGGUAGAAUUCCAGGUGUAGCGGUGAAAUGCGUAAAGAUCUGGAGGAAUACCGAUGGCGAAGGCAGCCAUCUGGCCUAAUACUGACGCUGAGGUACGAAAGCAUGGGGAGCAAACAGGAUUAGAUACCCGCGUAGUCCCUGUCUCUUAUAC
rnacentral:rRNA from 1 species